rnacentral:rRNA from 1 species
CGCGGUGAAUACGUUCCCGGACCUUGUACACACCGCCCGUCAAGCCAUGGAAGUCGGGAAUGCCUAAAGCCCCACAUUUAGUCGGGGUUAGGGUAGAACUGGUAACUGGGGCU